GUGUUUGGGGUUCCGGUGCAAAGUUCUCACUGUCCGCUCCAUCCUCGAUCGCGAGCAACCUUGACAGAGGCUAAGCAGAUGAUGCUACCACCCUUCUUCCCCGGAGGAAACACAGAAGGAAACUAAAGAUUCCUGUGUCUAAGGGACUGCCUCCUGGUCCCCUCCUGUCUCCUGCUGGGAAGACUGUUCAGUUCUGAGUCUUCCAGGCUGACCUUGGAAUCCCAACCUCCUGCCUCAACCUUCUGAGUACUGAUCCACCACAUCUGGAUAGACUAGACAUCUGCUGCAACAGAAUAGUUAAAAAAAAUGGUAUACAA